rnacentral:lncRNA from 1 species
ACCGUGUCAACGGAACACGCGCUUUAAUCAUCAACUGUCUGUCACUAGCAGGCUGACUCGAGAUAACCUUGAGCACCUGCCCAUGUUUUUCUCUGACUCUUAGUGCUGUCUCGCGCUCAGCAUCAGCCACAACCCGCGCGAGAAGCAAUAGGUCCGUAGGCGCCAGAAAUCCUAGGCACGAGACACCUAGCGCUCUAGACUCUAGCUGAAACGCGGGAAGGGUCCUGGUGUCAGGCAAAGGUGAGCCCGGAGGUGAACAACUCCAACUGACAAAAAACAGCAUAUUAACCGGAGAAUAAACAAUACGAGGAUGACCGCUGUGGCGGAGGGCUGCGGCGUGAAGAUGAUGAAGAUGAUGAUGUCUACAGUAAAUAUGCCCGUCAUGGAGAUGUGUUGGUGGGUGCUCAGCCUGUCCAGUCCGUCCACCCACGGUGAAGGAGAAGGUAAACUGAAGAGUAGGUGGAUGCCAGUGAGACUGUUGGCAUAUCCUCUCCCCGUCCGUGCCAAGCGUUUCUACCCAUACGCCACGUCUGGCGAGGGGCGUCCCUGGCACUCUGCCCAGUACCCUCUCUCCUCUCUGCUCGCUCCCCAAAGAAGAUGGGGAUGGAGAGAGACAAUCCUCUUUAGAGAUAAGUGAGCUUCCUAGCGCAUGUGGAGCCAGAUCCAUUCAAUGUGUUCCUGAAAAUCUCCUCCCCAUUCAGUCAGUCAAUGAGGAAAAAAAAUUGCUGAGUGUUGCCGCUGUAUCAACAAGCCAUGACGUGAGCUCUUUCACCCACCCCUCUCUCUUUCUCUCUCCAUCUCAACAAACCUACUACACCCUCUCCUUUCUUUCUUUCUUUCUUUCUUUCUCUCUUUCUCUCUGGAUUCUCCUUCCUGUUUCCCUGCCCGGCUGCUUCCUGUUGGACUUCCUGUAUGGUCACAUGACAAGUUCCUGUCAGUCUAUUGAAUACGACCCUGCUCAGCCUCCCACACACCCACUCACAACUGAGACAGUCCAGACCAGACGAUGCAAAAACUUGAGGAAAACAUGCCUCAGCAAAUAUUGGCUUGCAUUGUCGUUGAUUUAAUAAAACCUCUGCAGUAGCUAAGGCUAUACUCUUGCUAUGUACAUCCCAUCAGCAAAAUAAUCUCUCUAGUUCUCUGGAAUUCCUCUCAGUGUCAGCGAUUGGGUGCAGAGAUGUAGCGGAGUCAGGCACAGGACACAGGUUUGAGCAACACAACAGAGUUUACUCAAAAAAGUCAAGCAAAAAUUCCAAAUAGGAACAUACAUGUACACUAGC